UAUUGCACAAUGGGGGAAACCCUGAUGCAGCGACGCCGCGUGAGUGAAGAAGUAUUUCGGUAUGUAAAGCUCUAUCAGCAGGGAAGAAAAUGACGGUACCUGACUAAGAAGCCCCGGCUAACUACGUUCCAGCAGCCGCGGUGAUACGUAGGAGGCAAGCGUUAUCCGGAAUGACUGGGCGUAAAGGGUGCGUAGGUGGUUUGACAAGUUGGUAGCGUAACUCCGAGGCUUAACCUCGGCACUACUACCAAAACUGUUGGACUCGAGUGCAGGAGGGGCAAAUGGAAUUCCUAGUGUAGCGGUGGAAUGCGUAGAUAUUAGGAGGAACACCAGUGGCGAAGGCGAUUUGCUGGACUGUAACUGACACUGAGGCACGAAAGCGUGGGGAGCAAACAGG
rnacentral:rRNA from 1 species